rfam:Triticum aestivum genome assembly, contig: Triticum_aestivum_CS42_TGACv1_scaffold_226488_3B
AUAACAUUCCCUCCGUCCGAAAAUACUUGUCAUCAAAAUGAAUAAAAAAAAGAUGUAUGUAGAACUAAAAUACAUUUAGAUAUAUUCUUUUUUCAUUUUGAUGACAAGUAAUUUCGGACGGAGGCAGUACCAC